UCGGAGUUGGCACAAGACCGGCAAUGCGGCUUGUGUUUAGAUCAUAGUUAGUUAAUUCGGACAAUUCGAUGCGGGUAUGAUUCGGAUAAAAUUUGUUUGCUAAUUUUUAAAUUCGUUAAAAAAUAUGGCUAAAAAAUGGAUUCGUCAAUUAUUUGGAUACGUGAUUUAUACGGAAAUUAUACGUUCAUCAAUUAAAAAUUCGGGAUAAAAAAUUCGGCUAUUAAAUUAAGUUUUUUUUUUCUCUCAAGAUUUAUGUUAUUAGCAUAAAUACUCAUAUUUCUUAAGAAUAUAAGAAUAAAUAGCUACAAAAUUAAGUUAAUUACGUAAAAAAAUUGAAAAGAGUUUUUUUUUCUGUAAUUAAAUAAAGAGUUUUUUUUUUCUGUAAUUAACUUAAUUAACUUAAUUUGAAAAGCGCCCGUACCGAAUUAAUUAAUUCGGUACAGGCACUCGAGGCGCUCGAGGCGCUCGAAGCGCGCGUGGGCCUCGUGCCCCGGCCUCGCGGGCGCGCGCGGGCCUCGCAGGAGCGCGAGCAGCCCGGGAACGCACGCAGGCCGCAUUUUUUUGGCUCCGAAUAAUUCGGCCCGCGUAUAAUACGCGAAUAAGUCUUUUUUUACCAAGAAAACACAUUUUUUUCUGAAUUUUUGGGAAAAAUAUGAAUUCGGUCGUUUAAUUCGUUUAUUUAAAAAUUCGAGAAUAAUUCAUGAAUAAUUUGCAAAUUUACUAACAUAGGUUUAGAUCUCCUUAUCCCGCGAACAUCGACGUAGAGCAUCCGUAUCCGGCAAACUGGAAAAAGCCGAAGUUCGACAAGUUCUCGGGCGAUGAGACCGAGAAUAUGGUCGAGCAUAUAGCCUGGUUCACGGCCUAAUGUAGAGAAGCGGCCGCUGACUCAUUUUUGAAACUUCGAUUAUUUAACAUAUCAUUAACUAAAACGGCGUUUACUUGGUAUACAAGUUUAUUAGCCAAUGCCAUCCAAGAUUGGGACGAAUUGGAAAGAAAAUUUCAUGAACAAUUCUAUAAGUCGGAGCGACAAUUAUCGGUUGCCAACUUGGCUUUAUACCGACAAAAGUCAGGUGAAACGGUAGAAGAGUAUUUGAACCGUUUCAAAAUAGCCAAGACCCGGUGCUUUGUGAGAAUGCCGGAAUUAGUGUUCGCCAAAAUAGCGUUAAAUGGUCUACAUUUUAAGAUAAAAGACCAUUUUGAAAAUAAGUAUUUUUCUAACCUAUUUGAUCUAGGUGUUCAAGUUGCCCAAUAUGAGCAAUUUCGAAAGGAAAGUGAGGACAAUCGGCUGCAAUGGAGCCAAUAUAAAAAGCAAAGGAAAGGUAAAGAGAAAUUCUUGAUAGAAGAACAGUCGGUUCAAGAAGAGCCGAGCCAAUUGAGUGAAAGUAAAGAAUCGGCUGAUGAAGUUGAGGUACAUUUUGCUGGUAAAGAGCCACUUUCUUCAAAGAGAAAUCCUUGAUAGAAGAACAGAUGGUUCAAGAAGAGCCGAGCAAAUAGAGUAAAAGCAAAGAAUCGGUUUAUGAAGCCGAGGCAUAUACGGCUAGGAUGGUAAAGAGUCGCUUCCUUUAAGCCGACCAAGAGUAGCGAAAUUAAGAUCGGGUCAUGGCUGUGUCAUUGAGUCGUUGAUUUGGCACCAAUAGUCAUUCGAACGUUCAUUCGAGAGACUAUUGGGAGGGCAUUGUUGAUACAAAAAAAUUAACACACCGAUAUAACCCAUGUAUGAGCCAAAGAAAUAAGGACACGUGGUACAUCAGGAGUCAGCAAUAAGACGCCUGAAGAUCAAGAGCGUUUAGGCGGGAAUGGUUGAGAAAUGGGGCAUUACUUUCAUGAUCAUGGCUACACCACUUCCCCCACUACUUUAACCAACCAAUAAUGUGGGUUGAUAAGAUAUUAUAAAUAGUAACUUUGAAGCCUGUAAAAGGGGUCUUUCUCUCCCCUGAACGAGAAGACUACAACAUUUUCAAUAUUUUUCUUUCCUGUAUUUAUUAUUUUCUAGGAGUAAUCUACAGGUAAUCAUUUUUACCCGCAUUUACUGCUUUCCUAGGAGUAGUCUUUAAGUUAGAUCUCUGGAGUCUAUAUGCCCCACGGGCACACUCCGUUGUAAUCUAGAUUUUCAGAGUCUGUAUGCCCUUCGGGCAUACUCUAUUUUGUAUGAGUUCCCAAUUUUAUUUUAAUAUAUAAAGGCAUUUGGCUCUUUAAGCCAACCAAUCACUGUGUUUUCAUCCAUUUGGCUCUUCAGCCGACCCAAAUUUCAGUGUUUUUCGAACAUUCGGCUCAUCCAGCCGAAUCGAAUUUGUAUUAAAGGUUUUCGAACUCAGCUGAUCCAAUCCCCUCAUCAGCCGAAUCGCUUGAUCCAGUCGAAGGGCGCAACUUCGAGGGUCACUUUUCGAAGCCGUUUUUCAUCCCUACACGUUCUUCGAAGAGGAUCUUUGACCGGAUCAAGAAUCGGGGAAUUCGGCUCCUAACAAUUAUCAUUGUUAUUUCCAUCAUGUAGUAGUUGUACUUACUUUCCUUUUUACUUAUUAUGAACCUAGUGGUGUAAUUUGCUGAGAUUGGCGGCUUAUCCACUAGAAACUAUUGUUCAAUAGUUCUCACACCCUCUUUGUUGUUGCUUUUAUAGAGCGAUCCAUUACGGGAGAGACUAGGGAUUGCGGCAAAGGAGUCGCGUCUAGCUAGACGUACCUUGGAGUUCUGCUAGGUGAUCAUCUCGCUGUGUUUGAGUUACUGACGAGGAUGAUGUUCUACCUGUGUAUAGAGAAGACUACUACUUGUAUAUGUAGUUGUUUUGGUGACCCUGAGAUGUAUAUUUGUGAUUAGAGAGUUGUACUUUAUCAUUGUUACCUUUGUUUUCUGAUUACUUUGGUGAAGUUGUACUUGUUUUACUCUAAUUUUUAGUACACUUUGUACAUUCUAUGCUUUGAUACUAUGUUAGAUUUUUGUUGAUUGGUAUUUUCUAGCAUAGUUCUAGUAGACGCCUUGUAUACUGUAGGUAUAUGGCGGGUCUGCCCAUGUUUCGGGUAUGCUUCCGCUGACACCGGGGCAUGAAACGUCGGCGGAUGCCUACUGCUCGACUGCCCUCCAUCAUCUGGAGUCGGGCGCUUCCUAUCCUGACUCCGCCUCGGCACCUGAGCCCGCUCACAAACCGAUACAUCUCCUCUCUCCAUCCACAACGCCUGCUCAAUCGACGCAUCCAAAGUUCUCAACCUCUGCGCCUACACCAACCGGAAGAUCUCUGGCCUCAAGCCCUCUUCAUACAGAUACACUUUGUGGGCUUCAUCCCUGGCUACAAACGGUACACAGUUCAGAAGCUGAGUAAACCACGAGUGUACUCCUGAACUGAUCGCUCCCCCUGUUGUAGCUUCUUCAGGUCCUCCUCGAGUUUUUGCUUUACACUGUUUGGAAAAUAGGCCCCGUACAGCAAUCCACAAAACUUGUCCCACUUCAUUUGUAGCACAACCAGCCCUCGAGUCUACCUUAUUCUCCUCCACCAGGAGUGCGUAUCACCUGCCAAACAGUGCACUCCCGGGUGUACCUGCUCCCGCUCUGGUACGAACAAGUCCUCGAAUAACUUUCUCAUCGCACUCACCCAGCCCUCUACAACCCAGGGCUCCGUGCAAUUGCAAUCAAAGCGCGGUAAAUCAAACCGACGAAAACGAGCCAGCAUCUCCAGAGAAUGUAACUAGCGCCAUAAGAACUGUCACUGAUGGGGGUACAGCUGUGGCUGGUACGGCCACUGGAGUAGUCGGCGGCGGUGCCGGCUGCUCUGGUGCUCUAUGCGCUGUGUUCGGCGGUGGAGUAAAUGUUUCACACAUCCUCUGUAAUAGGGCCCCCUAUUGCCUGGUCGCCUCAGUCAAGACAGCUAACUGCUCUAUCAGAUCAGAGGGUGCACUCGGCCCUGCUUGCUCAGGCAUCUCAGAUGGCGCGACACGAUCCCGUGUCGACGGUCGACCUCGGCGUCGAUACAUGAUUACCUGAAAUUAAAACAAGGGUCAGAUACAAAACACAAUCACUCUCGACCCAAUCAAGCGAAAGUCUAGAAGGUCACCCCUAUUUCUCCUCAAAAUUAUGCUAUCUGCAGCCAACAUAUUUCUCUUGACAAAAACAGACACUCCUUCAGUCACUCACUUCACUCUAGGAGGAGUUAAAAUAAUUUAAUCGCUGACUUUCGUAAUAAAUCAAGCCUCUCACCUCUUGCCUUCCUAAGAUUUUCCAAACUUAAGGUUUUCUACGUCCCAACGACCUAAUACUAAGCUCUGAUACUAACUUAAUCUCUCACACCCCGGAUUACCAUGUUUUUUCGAGCAAACCAGAAGACCCGCCGUAUACAUAGAAAUUUUUUCUGUAUACGAAACGAUAGCUGUACCUAUAAAUAAAGCCAAGCUACAACCAAGAGAUAAGAGUUGCUAAACUAAAAAUAUAUAAGUAUAAAACCUCAAGAGGUUCCAGUACAUACAAAAAUCUACAACCCAACUCGCUCCAGCGAGUACCACGACAACAUCACCAUAUGUAUAAAGAAAGCCCAAAACUACCUCUGGAUAGGUGCUCCUCUAGCUAAACUAACAGAGGGAUGGCCCUAACUCGCAACUCCUCUGCCACGAUCAGAAACAGCGUCAGUAGUAGCCACGAAUGAAGGCUCUGCAAAAAAGGUCAACAACUGGGUGUGAGAACUACUACAAAAUAGAGUAGUCCUCAGUGGGUACCGUCAUCGAUCUCAACGGCUCACCUACUGAGUCUACAGAAAAGUGCGUAAGAGAUAGUAAGAAAAGCUGAAAACCCAGCAGGCUAACCAAUACUGGCUAUCUGUAGAUGUAACAAAAAUGCAACCUCUGACCCAAACUUACUAGGGACUGUGAACGCACCUAUCCCACCUAUCGAAACUACACCGCGUACCACCUCGGGGGCUACCGGUGGAGAGCAAAGUCCUAACCGAACAUUACAACAUCAAUGCAAAAGCAUGUAGCCAAACUCCGGAGCGGCACUCGUGGGCGCGACCCAACCGAGUAUACAAGCAUGUCUCUAUUAAGCUCAAUCAAGCUCUCACAGGCUAUAAUCAAUGCAAAUUGGUCUAACUGUCUAACAACCAAAUCUCACGUGCCCUUAGCACAAUCUGAGGCAAAACACAGAAAUCUGGUUCCACUGUCAACCGCGACGGCACCCGACAGUCCUAAACAAUCUACACACUACUGUAAAAUAAACUCGGCAUCCCAGCACGAGUGUAAACUCAUCCUAUACUAGCUCUUAAAGCUAAAUCUGAUAAUUUUCUGAAAGUGACAGUGUAGAACUUAUAUAUUUUCUCCCAAGUCAAUUCUAAGUCCAACAUGGAAAAUUAUAAUUCUAUCUUAACUCCAAAUUCAGAUUUUAUACUCUAAUCCCUGAAUUCGAGUACUAGCAAGGAAAUAAAGCAAUGAUACAUGUCGACAAUGCUAAAACUUAAGAGGAAUUCUGACGAUUUCGGUAAACAUUAACCCACCUCGAAACGCU
rnacentral:lncRNA from 1 species